rnacentral:rRNA from 1 species
AGAAUCAACGCUGGCGGCGUGCCUAACACAUGCAAGUCGAACGAGAAAGUGGAGCAAUCCAUGAGUAAAGUGGCGCACGGGUGAGUAACACGUGACUAACCUACCCUUGAGUGGGGAAUAACUUCGGGAAACCGAGGCUAAUACCGCAUAACACCUACGGGUCAAAGGAGCAAUUCGCUUAAGGAGGGGGUCGCGGCAGAUUAGUUAGUUGGCGGGGUAAUGGCCCACCAAGACGGUGAUCUGUAUCCGGCCUGAGAGGGCGCACGGACACACUGGAACUGAAACACGGUCCAGACUCCUACGGGAGGCAGCAGUGGGGAAUUUGCGCAAUGGGGGAAACCCUGACGCAGCAACGCCGCGUGGAGGAUGAAGUCCCUUGGGACGUAAACUCCUUUCGAUCGGGACGAUUAUGACGGUACCGGAAGAAGAAGCCCCGGCUAACUUCGCGCCAGCAGCCGC